AAGAAAAACUAGGGGGGCCGAUUCUGGCUGAGAUAGGAAGGUAAUGCUUUCUGACCCUUUGAACCUGUUUGUUAGUGCAAGCGUAGGGAAGUGAAUGUGAAAGUGA
rnacentral:ncRNA from 12 species